GCAGAUAGCACAAAUUAUUAAAACGUGUCAAAAGCUAAAAUCCUCUGCAGCUACGUGUCUAAACUCACGGCAAUGACUCAGUACGUUUUAAAGCUCUACAUCUCCGUCAAAUUCAUCACCGCAAAUAUCAUCAAUCGCGCCACCGGCGAUUUAAUCGCCACCGCAUCGACGGUAGAGCACUGCAUCAAAAACUCCUUCGACUGCGGCCGGUUCUCCAAUCCCAAGGCGGCCGCCGCCGUCGGCGAAGUUCUCGCUAAACGUUUCCGAGUAGCGAGUAUCUCCGACGGCGGCGGCGCGGCGGCGCGCGAGAUUCACGCAGAUGUCAAUCGAGAGAUCGAGAAGAAAGGAUCAGAGAAGAGUGAGAUGAUGUGGCGUGUUGUUGAUUCGCUUAAGAGUGAUGGAUUGAAGGUUGUGGUGGAUGAUGAGAGUGAAUCUGGACCGUCCGUUUGAUGAUGAGAUUGAAUCUCGAUGAACCAAUACGCAUGAUGGAAUAGCCACAAAGUAAAAGAAAAGAAGGCAACACAAUGUACAACGAGUUCCCUAACAAAUAAGAAUGCAUAGAUAAUGUGAAUUUUCUCCUAGAGAAACUUUAUGCCAAACAAAACGAGGUAUCUGGAUCAGGCCUCUCAGCUAUUCUCUAUUCCGCUCCAGUUUUCCUUCAUGGUGUCCAGCUUGUGUUGCGUGUAUCUUUUUGCGCCAACGCUUUUACAUCAUGAUAAGCAUAACGCUGGCAGUUGCUCCUAAGCAUCAUUAAGUCUUCCUGUUAUCUCUGGCUCUUGGAAGACCGAAUUUCUCAUAGUUUAUGAGCUGUUGUGGGAAAAAGCUUAAGUGCAGAGCUAAAAUAGAAAGUGUUGUGAUAUAGGGAAGUAAGGCCUUUUAUACAUGAGGCUUUUAUACAUGAGGGAAAGGGAUAUCUACGGUUUGCAUUGGGUGGAUGCUGUGUGAAACCUUCAAGGUGAAGAGAUGAGGAUAGUCGAGCUUUAGUUAGAAGUAUUCCACAAGAGGGGUGAACGACUGAAACUGGAGUCUUAGUUUGCAAUGACACCUGGAGGACAGGCAAGAUAAAACUCGGGAUAUGGAAAUAAUCUUAACACUUCCUUUUCUAGUUCCGCACAUGAGUUUUUAUCCACAACACAGCUCAUAAUUUGGUCUUUCAAGAGCUUGAGUUAGCAGGAAGACUUGGUGAUGCUUGGAAUCAACUGCCAGUGCCAGUAAUUGUUCUUAUGCCUAUCAUGCUUUUUAUGGAAUGCUUUCACAUGACUGCCGUGAUAUUAUCUGACGUCCUUGCUUCUUUUUGUCUUCUUGAUUCCUUGGAGAAUGCCAUGUUCCUCCACCGCUCUAAGACAACAUUGUUGAAAUCAUAGAAGCCAAAAAUUUAAAAAAAUAAAUUUUGAAUAUGAAGCUGGGAGCAUCCUUCUCAUAUCCCAAGGAUGAGAAUAUUUAUGCUGCAAGCUGCAAGACGUGUACAAAAUGUUUUAUUAAAAUGAUCACAUAUGCUUUUGCAAACUUGGGUUUGUGGUCACCUUUGUCUCGAAUAUGCAGUGAAUACAUAUGAAGUAAGCCAGAGGAGCACAAUGGCAUAUUAUCAGGACAAGUGGAUGAUAUUGAUUGUGAAGUGUGUAUAUUGUUAACGGUGUCUACAGGAAGAUAUGCUAGUCAUCUAAAAAUAUAAAUUUGUAUAGGACUGGGCAAGGAAAUUCCCAUUUUUCGAGAUGAUAUAGUUGAAUAGCCUCUCUUCAAGGAGUGGACUUCAGCAAUUCGAUCAACAAAUGAAAUCAGGAUAUGAACUCCAGGACUGAGGUUCUCACCUAUAUUUCAAAAAUGUUCGAUCACCAAGUCUCUCUUUACUGGCCCUACAAAAACCCUCCGGUUUAUUGGGGGUUCAAUUUCACAACUAAUACGUAAUACAUAACUGGAUCAGCUGGCUAUUAAUAAGGAUAAUAUCCAGCAUUUCCAUGGAUGGAGUUGUCUUAGUUAAGGAUGAAAUUGGCUUGUUAUUGAGUGGAAAAUCUGCCAAUGUGUGAGAAAUUCAACUUGCUAAGGGCUUGGGCUUGAUAAUGUCGAAUGAAUCUUUUAAGGAACAAAUACCUUCUACUUUAAGAUAGUGAGGAUUAGCUCAUCUGCCUGGAGUGAAGGCAGCUAUGAAAAUGCAUGCAGAAGCCGAGCACAAAAGGACAGCUCUAAUUUAGCAGUCAGAUGUCACGUCAGCUCGUCAAGGACAAAGAUAAACUAGAGAUUUCUUAAUGGUAUAUGCAUGGGCGAGAAGCAGGCUAUGAUGGAAGCAACUGUCGGUUUCCGCCCAUAUUGCUAGUCUUUAGUUAGCUAUAUAUUUCACACCUGAAGAUUGCUUAUUCUGCCUGGGUAGAUGAACAGUUGGGUUUCAUGUUUUCAUUCUGAACCUCGAGUACCAGUUUUUCGCUUUAUAUUAUUGUGGUGGUACUUCUAUGUUAUAUGCUUCAUUUUUCCAGUUGGAUCAAAAUUAGAUUGGUUUUGGCUUUAUAUUAUACUGGUGGUACUUUCAUGCUAUAUGCUUGGAAUUAUAUUAUAGUGGGGGUACUUACAUGCU